UACGUAGGUGGCAAGCGUUGUCCGGAAUUAUUGGGCGUAAAGCGCGCGCAGGCGGUCCUUUAAGUCUGAUGUGAAAAGCCCACGGCUCAACCGUGGAGGGUCAUUGGAAACUGGGGGGACUUGAGUGCAGAAGAGGAAAGCGGAAUUCCACGUGUAGCGGUGAAAUGCGUAGAGAUGUGGAGGAACACCAGUGGCGAAGGCGGCUUUCUGGUCUGUAACUGACGCUGAGGCGCGAAAGCCAAGGGAGCGAACAGG
rnacentral:rRNA from 1 species